CAGGGUAUGGCUAAAAGUAAAGCGUUUCCCCUACACCGAAAAGAUUCCCGUGCAAAUCGGGCUACCCUGA
rnacentral:tRNA from 1 species